ensembl:lncRNA
CACCAGAGAUGCAGGGGGAGCUGGUGGGUGUCGGGAGAGUUGGGGUUGGGGGAGGUCGCCACGGUCGGACACUCAGCCCCCGACUCACGCAGGACCCCCGGAUUGGGGCGGCCGCCGUCAGGCUCCAGCCCACUGCCCUCGCAGGGCGGGCCACCUGGAGGCGGGCCACCUGGAGGCGGGAGGAGUCGACAGCGAUCAUAGUGAAAAUUCUCUCAAACCCGGCUCCCUCCUCCUUCGAAUCCGAGCCCUGGGAAGGGGCUCCGAGGCGCCUUCGGACUCCCCAGGCAGCGGAAACCCCAAGACAGAGACCUCGGUGACCCAGACCCCCUUCUCCAAGCCGAGAAUCCCUCUGCACCACAGCUGGCGCAGGAGUGAGGAGUUGUCGAAGGAGGCGCCGGGUUUCCUCGUAGAUGGGCGUGUUAUAUACAAGGGUUUUUCCUCCGAUCGCAACCGCAAUACGACCAGCUUUCGGGACUGAGCACCCGCUCAAUCUCCCGGUACUGGAGUCGGGGUUGUUGUGAAGACUAAAUGAAAUAAUGUAUUUGAAAGUUCCUGAUGUACAGGAAGUGCUCACUUGAAGUAGCAGCAGGAAAUGCUUCUCCAAGCAAGAACAUGGCUCACAGGGCUGCGGCAUGUGAGCUCUUGCAAGAGUAUCAGAAGUCUGCAGGUGGACCUCACACCCUGCCUCAACAGCCCACCAGUGGAGCUCGGAAGAAGAGGAUGAUUGCUCCCGACACUGCUGGCAUAACAGAGGCUAUUUAGAAAGCACUUUCUAUGUUCCCAACAGUCUAAGCACUUUUCAUCCAUCUUCUCACUCUCACAACACAGUACCAGCCUGUAAUAAGUGGAUAUUUCUCCAGGGUCACAUUGUUCUGGGAAUGUGUAAGUAAACAAGCUAGGAGGCAAGGACAUUUGAUGAACUGACCAAUGAGACAAGACUUGACCGUGAGUUCCUUGAGGAUAGCUUCCUCAUCCGAUUCAGUUUUAUCUCUGCAGACAGAGGCAUGGGAAGAGUCACAGGACAGUUCCUGGGCAGUGGUUACACAGGCCCAAGGUUGAAGGGAACAAGAGGGACUUCAGGAGGCAGCUCAGGCUGCCAGUUGAGCCCAAGUCCUUGGUCCUUCUCAAAGGAAGAUUGCGUUUUCUCCAAGAUGAGCAAGGGACUAUACAGUUUUUCCAUCUGGACUGUUUUGCUGUCAAACUGUCAAGGCUGUGAGACUCCCCAAGACUACCUAGGCAUGUCCCCUCUUUGAUGGAAUCCACCUCAAGUAUUUUCAGGGUCCCCACGAUGCUUACGAUUGGUGCUACUCAAUCUUCAUUUUCCUGGAGAUGACUCUUCAGAGUCCUUUGAAAUCAAAGAACUCACAUGGGGGCUGGAAUGACUCAGGGAAGACAGGAGGUAAGCGUCUGUCCACAAUGAUGGGGUUUUCCAGCCAGGAGGUGCAACAGGUAGACCCUGUUCUACAACCUCACCUCUAGUUACAGUGGAUAAACGCGUUUAUAGAUCUGAGUCCCUUCUUAAAGAUAAGGGGUUUUUUUGGUAAUGAUUUUGCAUUUUCCCUUCUCAAAAUGGGAACUUAUGUUAUUUUGAAAUCCUUUGCCCGUUAAAAAAAAUUUUUGACAGAAAAAUAUGCAUAAAUAAAAUAUGUCAUGUAGGAAAGAUUGCAUUCCUAAUGUGCCUUUCUAUAAACUUAUUCCUUUCAAAAAGAUAAACUGUGACUUUAUGUAACAACAAAAAAUUGGCAAUGAUGUUCUUAGGCAUUUUUGUGAGAUAUGUAUAUUUUAAGGAUGUUAGCUCUUUGGCUGCCAUAUUACAUGUAUCAGUCUCCCCAACCAUAGUCUGCAAGGUGUACAGUAUAAGCACCGUAAAGGCAUGUACUUUUGGUCUACCCUCUGUGCCUAAUAAACAGCAUGGUGGGCAUGAAGUGUUCAACAAAUGAAUAUAAACCAGAAACUCUACAAGGCAGACCACCCUACAUUUUGCAACCUAUCUGAUAACACUAAUCUUAUUUCACAAGGUUUAUUUUCAUAAGCUAAGUAAAAAUAUUUGUAUUGAAAAUCAAUCAUAAACACCCUCUCUCAUCUCCAGAUAGCAGACAAUAUUCUAGAACAUAGAUCUAUGUCUCCUGAUUCCUAGCAGAGCCCUGACUGCUUUGGGAUUGAAAGAGAAUGUCUGCAGAGAGUAUCUAAGUCAUUUCUUAAAAUAUUCAGCUGAGAGAGAGUCCCUCUCAGGAGAGAGAGAGAAAGUCUCCCUCUAGACGGAAGCUUAGCUGGUUACACCUGUGGAGCUGGACUGUGGCAUGUCAAGACCCAAGUCCACUUACUGUGUCACCUUGGACAAGUUGUUAACUUCCCUAAUCCUCAGUGCCCUCCUCUGUGAAAAUCCUUUGUAAAAAAAUAGAUGCCCACCUUAAAAGAGUGUCUAGAACAUGUGUUCAAUAAAUUUUAGAUGUUAUUGUUUUUAUUGUUAUCACUAUGAUUAUGAUACCAGCCAACUCAUGUAAACAGCCAGUCCAGUUUCUGGAGAUUGCAGUAUCACUCCUCAGACUCAUCCAGUUUCUUCCCAAUUGAGUCUACACCUUUGCUUCUCCCUUCUGUAAAACACUGGGAUAAUCAUGGUAAUUAAAAAUUCCUUUGUGUUUAUAAGGCAUGAUCACAUCCAUUUUCCCGUUUGAUCCCCACAAUAACUCUGUUGAAGAAAGUGAGAAAGACUUUGUUAUCUCCAUUUUACAGGUUAGGAAAUGAAGGCAAAGAGAGGGUAAGUAACUUUCCCAAACUUACAAAAAACAGAAUGGAAUUUGAAGGAAUAUCUUUCUCACCGUGUCUCCAGGCUAAGUAGAAAGAGCUUUGGCAAAAUGAGUUGGAACUCCUAGUUGGAGUUCUCAGCUGCCAUGUUCCCUGGUCAACACUUCUGGUCAAGUUGUGCUGCCAUCACUGGGAGCAGCAGAUUGGGGAGCAUUUCUCUUACACUUCCUGGGAUUCUGGAUCCACAGUUGCUCCCUUACCUCUGAAGCCUAAGCAUCUGGUAUCAGCUUCUUAGCAAGCCCAUGGUUUACCAACAAGUGUUACUAGGAGGCAACUGACUGGGGUAAGUCACACUGUCUCUACACAUGCAAAUCCUUCCAACGAACAUCUUUAUCUGCUUUAAAUAUCAUCAACACGCUCACUGAAGGCAGCUUUGAAAAGAAAGUGAAGUCACAAGAAGGCAUCAGGCUGGCUGGAGUAGAUAGAUAAACGUUGAGGGUGGAGAGAUGCUUCUGUUCUGUGAUUGGUCAAAGUAGCUCCAGCUUCCAGGUGGCCAGGCCUGAUGCCUGGGUACUGAGGCAAGGGAUCUGAGCACUUUGCAUCCCUUUGUAUUGUGGGACCAUCCCCUUCUAUUCUAGUCCACAAAGUGGGGAAGGGCUGUCCCAAAGUACCUGGCCCAGGGCAAAUGUAAUGACCUAGAAUCAUGGAACCAACUCUGGCUGUACAACAUAAUCCUAUAGGAAGUUUUUAAUCAAUACUGAUGCCCACACCAAUUAAAUCAGAAUCUUGGAGCCUGAGAUCCAGACAUCAGUAUUUUUUUUAUAGUUGCAUUGAUAUACAUUGUAUUGUAUAUGUUGUAUAAUUGAUAUACAACAAGCUGCACAAAUUUCAUAAUUUGAUGAGUUUUGAUGUAAGUAUACAUCCCAACCCACCACCACAAUCAAGAUAACGAACACAGACAUCAGCCUGAAAUUUCUUCAUGCUCUUUGUAAUCCUUCCCCACCUCUCCCAUCCCUACCACCAGGCAAACGUUGACCUGCUUUCUGUAGCUAUAGAUUAAUUUACAUUUUCUAGAAUUCUAUAUUAAUGAAAUCAUAUAAUAUAUUCUUUUUCUCUUGUCUAGCUUCAUUAACUCAGAGUUAUUUGGAGAUCUACCUGAGUGGUUGUGUGCCAAUUCCUUUUUUUAAUUUAUUUUUUAUUUUUAAAUUUUUUUAUUAAGGUUAUGAAAGUUAACAUCCUUGUGAAAUUACAGUUGUACAUCAUUAUUAGUCAUGUUGUAGGUACACCACUUGACCCCUAGUGCCCUCCGCCCGUGCCAAUUCCUUUUUAUUGCUGACUAUUAUUCCAUUGUGUGGAUAUACCAUAAUUUGUUUGUCUAUUCACCUAUCACUAAAUAUUUGAGUUGUUUCCAGUUCUGGAAUAUUACAAAUAAAGCUGCUCUGAGC